GACGAACGCUGGCGGCGUGCUUAACACAUGCAAGUCGAACGAUGAAGCCCAGCUUGCUGGGUGGAUUAGUGGCGAACGGGUGAGUAACACGUGAGUAACCUGCCCUGGACUCUGGGAUAACCCCGAGAAAUCGGAGCUAAUACCGGAUAGGACCUUCUCCCGCAUGGGGGUUGGUGGAAAGUUUUUCGGUUUGGGAUGGACUCGCGGCCUAUCAGCUUGUUGGUGAGGUAACGGCUCACCAAGGCGUCGACGGGUAGCCGGCCUGAGAGGGUGACCGGCCACACUGGGACUGAGACACGGCCCAGACUCCUACGGGAGGCAGCAGUGGGGAAUAUUGCACAAUGGGCGCAAGCCUGAUGCAGCAACGCCGCGUGCGGGAUGACGGCCUUCGGGUUGUAAACCGCUUUUAGUAGGGAAGAAGGGCUUCGGCUUGACGGUACCUGCAGAAAAAGGACCGGCUAACUACGUGCCAGCCGCCGCCGUAAUAC
rnacentral:rRNA from 1 species